rnacentral:rRNA from 1 species
UACAGAAGCCCCGAGCAUUAUCCGGAUUUACUGGGCGUAAAGGGUGUGUAGGUGGUGUAAUUAGUCGUGCGUCAAACCUUCGGGCUUAACCCGAAGCGCGCGUACGAAACGGUUACACUAGAGGAUGUGAGAGGUGUGCGGAACUCAAGGUGUAGGGGUGAAAUCCGUUGAUAUCUUGGGGAACACCAAAAGCGAAGGCAGCACACUGGCACUCUCCUGACACUGAAACACGAAAGCGUGGGUAGCGAAUCGG